AGCCGCCGCCCGACACGCACCACUUGCACCAGAUCAUCGACUACGUUGGCACUGCCUGGGAGGACGUAAUCCGAUGCGGCAGUGGAAAAGUACGAUACUUUAGCGAGUAGCCACGAACGCUCGUUUAUACGGAACGGCGUCGUCGCGAGUGAAGUGACGUGCGGUACGUGCCGAAAGACAAUUGUUCUGUGUACUGUGUAUAUAAAACUGCUACCGCCGGAGGUCGCAGCGGUGCGUGCGCUCGGUCUCUGCGUGCACGAAAUUAUUUAUGCGCUUCGUCAUAUUUUAGUGAAAUGUAAUAUAAAGAAUCUUCCAUAGUGCCGCGGCGGUCUUUGUAACGGACGAGUGUGAGUGGAUAGUUUUGGUGCAGUGUGGCGAUGGUGGCUCGUCACGCUUCUGCGAGCCGGCACCAGUUCAAACUUAGCGUUUCUGCUGUGAUUAAAUUGUUACAUAGGUGAACUGAACGAGAGCUACCUUAAGCAUUUAUUCAUUAAAUUUGCACUUGAAAAAACCUAAAAAAAAUAUUAAAGCUGUUAUAUAAUAAGUCUCAUUUGGAUUUAUACUUUAUUAUACAUGUUUUAUGGCCUAGUGUGAGGACUACUGGGAACGGGUGGGGCUGAUAUUGGUAGUAUGAACAAUUCUGGUCGCAACUGCCAAACAUGGUGAAUUAAUAAGAAAUUAGGGUAAAGUGUGUUUGUAUAGAACUGAAAACCGUAAAGUAUAGAAACUACAGAGGACUUUUCAAUGGUGUGCUUGACUGAGAACUGGGAAUGUCCAUGACAGAGUAGUUCCAAGCGAUUCCUCAUAUUGGGUCUCCACAGAGAUGUUUUGAUUUGUGUUGAUGGAGGCAUGUAAUAAUUUGUUUAUGUUGAUGUUGAUUGUGCUUGAGUUUUGUUAUGUAAUCACAAAUAUUUAGUAGAUUUUCUCUAACUAGACACUCAUUACUAUUUUGUUAUGUAUUUUUAAGUUUUACCAUUUUGAAUUGUAAAUAUAUAAUAAAUAAAGAUCUUUUAAGGUGUAACUGGCCAUAAUUGACAUGUGCUGUGGUGUCGUCCUACUUGGUCACCUUCUCAUUAGGCUAUUUAUUGUUAUUGAAGUUAUAUCAGUUACAUCACAUAUGUUUUUUUCCUAUAAUCCUAAGUUCAACAUUUAAAAAUAAUAUCUCCAUUUAAGAAUUUCCUUUUGUCGGUACAACUAAUUUGUGCAUCUUCCUCCAGCAACCUCUAUCACAGGCCUUAUCCUUUAUACUAUACGACAUGACGCAUAGUGUUCCUUUUAAAAAUAAUAUAAUGGAAUAUUAUAAUUUACUUAUUUAGUAUCAAUUAGUAUGAGAAAAGAACCACUUUCUAAUUAAAUCCAUUGAUUGUAAUGUAUUACUCAAUCAGAUUAAUUUGGUUUUCCAUAAAAGUUGUAGGUUGAUAACAGUGGCUGACUGUGAAAGUUGAUUAUUCUUUCUUUUAAUAUUUCUAUUCCAUUACAAAUGAGAAUUUGGCCAAAUUGGAUCGUAUGUUUGAUGCUAAAGUGAGAACUUUAAUAAUACUAAUAAAUGUAAGUGUUGAGUGUAACAAAUAAACCUAUAUGCAGCAAUGACGCGCUUCGCUAAUAACAUAAUACCGCGCAUAGGUGUUUUGUUAGAUGCCAGUGUAAGAACCUUUUGUCAAAGGUUUGACCAAACUGCAUACUGUAUUGUAUUGUACAUAAAUCAGUCAUCGUUGUUCAAUACAAACGCAAUUUUGCGCGUGAGUCGCAUUUACGUGAAGAAUGAUUGUGUAGUUUAUAAUGUUUGCUGCAAACUAAAAUAUCUAGACGGAGGCAAGUACUCUCAUUUUACUUAUCUAAAUUAUGAACAUGAAAUGACAGUAUUGUGCGAGUACAAGUAAAAUGAGACACUACUAUAUGGCACCUCGAUCAUUGAAUUGAAUCUCAAUGCAAAUUGUACUAAUUUUACUUUUUAUUUUUGAAAUAUUUGUGCCAAUACUAGGUGGUGCUUUUUUUCAUUCAUUUUACUGUAAAAGAGAAAUGGCGCAAAUUUUUGUAGUAUCAGAUUUACCAUAAUAAUACAGAUGAUAGAGUGAGCAAAAAUUUCUUUAGCCAUAUCUCUCUCCGUCUAGUUAUUACUGCAAUGUAAACUUCACCAAUACAUUGUCCAUACAUACAAAAAGUACCAUCGUCUCAAUGUUGGGUGAGUUAUCAAUAUUGAUUGACGGAAAACUAGUCGAAAGUGUGUGGAGAGCAUAUAUUUAUUGUACUAAAGAAAAUCCUAUAAAUAUAUUUGAUGAAAGAGAUGAUCAGAUAUGAUGAAAAUUAUUGUAAUUUUAUUUGAUUUUUUGUUUGUACAUGUAGAAUUUAAUAAAUGUGGUUAUAUAAAUGAAUGUAGUCUGCCUAGGAUCUUAAAUAAUAUUCUCGGUCUGGUACUAUUCGGUAUUCAUUUCAUGGUGUGACCAUAUUGCGGCAAACUUGUGAACUCUGUACUGGAUUUUACAGAUAUAUUAUUGUUCAAUGCAGUGGGAAAUUUCUACUUUCCGAAAUAACCUCUAUCUAUUAAAACUACUCGAAUUCUUAUCAUUCUUCCAUUUUUUUAACUGAAAUAAAAUGAUACGUUUGUAUCUUACAUAGACGUUAUCAAGCUAGUAUAGCAUACGGAUUUGUACAUCCUUUACCACCUGCAUCCAAUAUUUAAGUCUAUAAAUACUUUUAUGACCAUUUGAGAUAUUACAUGUAUAUUUGCAAAGAUAAACUCGCCAGCUUACAAUGCGCCUUCAAGACACUUGCGCUUAGAUUUUAAAAUAUGUCCAUUCAGUUUCUUUACAAAGUGCUAUAUACACUUAUAGACCACACUUAUAUUGUAAAUAUAUUGUAUAUUAAUUCAUUUGAAUUCAAAAAGAUUCAUGUAUUCAUUACAUUAAUUAUUUUGAGUAGACAAUGCUGAAAGGACG
rnacentral:lncRNA from 1 species